rnacentral:rRNA from 1 species
UACGUAGGGACCAAGCGUUGUUCGGAUUUACUGGGCGUAAAGGGCGCGUAGGCGGCGCGGUAAGUCACUUGUGAAAUCUCUGAGCUUAACUCAGAACGGCCAAGUGAUACUGCAGUGCUAGAGUGUGGAAGGGGCAAUCGGAAUUCUUGGUGUAGCGGUGAAAUGCGUAGAUAUCAAGAGGAACACCUGAGGUGAAGACGGGUUGCUGGGCCAUCACUGACGCUGAGGCACGAAAGCGUGGGUAGCAAACAGG